rnacentral:tRNA from 1 species
UCCAACGGUAGAGCGUCGGAUUCCAAAUCCGCAGGUUGGGGGUUCGAAUCCCUCUUGCC